GUCUAUUUCUUGCCUUUCUCUUUAAAUAGUUAAUAGAGAUAGCUUCACAUUUUUUACCCUAUACCUGAUCUCAUUUUAGCUUUACAUUCUUUUACCAUACAGCUGAAUUUAUUUUCUGAUUGCUAUUUCCUGCCUUUUGUCCUCUACAUUGAAAUUUAUAUGAUUGCUGAUUGAUAACUUCUUUUUUCUUUUCAAGUGGUUUGGUCUCUUGCAUUUUAAUCUGUACUAGAUAUAUGAAGGGUGUUGAUGAAUUCAAAGUGAUGACUUCAAGCUGCAGAUAGAUGGCAUGUAGUCUAUUAAGAGUUAUGGUUUAUUGAAUGGCUAAUUGAAUGUUUAUUAAAACAGUGUCAAAAUUUGUUGAACCAUUAAAGAAGCUUUAGUUGUCAAGUCUCAUAAUUCUUUAUGAGCUUAUCUAAACUGUUUGCUAUUUAAGCUGCUGAUGAUUAAUUCCUUGCUUAUACCAGUUGGUAUGAGAAAUAAAUAAAACUAAUAUCCCUUCAGAUCACGUCUUUGUUGGCCAGGCUUAGAAUCAAAUCACCAACAAGGUCAAGCUUAUUAAGUAUUAACAGGUCAAUAAUACAUCACCUUGAGGACCACAUUUGCCAUCUGUGUCGGUGUGUUGCUCAAUUCAGGAUAUUAAUCUUUUGACGUGAAUUAGACCUCAACAUUUUUGAUGGUUUAAGUGUUCGAACUGUCCGUUUGGACAAACAUAUGAAGUGAGUGGUCAUAUCAUGAUUUGUCCCCAGUUUUUUUGGACAAGGUCAAUGGUUUCAUCUGUAAGUGAGGCAUGCAUCAUUGCCUCUUAUUGACUAAUAUGCACAUGUAAUCUACAUUGAAAAAAAAAUUGUAGUAGCUCAUAUGAUCUCAUGAGCCUUUUUCCCCCUUACUCAAAACUUAGGCUAGAAUUGAAAGCAAACAUGAAAUUCUUGAGAUUGGAUGUGGUUGGGGAAGUCUAGCAAUAGAAGUUGUUAAGCGAACUGGAUGUAAAUACACAGGCAUCACCUUGUCUGCAGAGCAACUCAAACUUGCCAAAAGAAGAGUGAAAGAUGCAGGUUUAGAGGACAAAAUUACAUUCUUGCUCUGUGAUUACCGCCAACUACCGAGCUUUCACAAAUAUGACAGAAUUAUAUCUUGUUGUAUAGGUUUACUCAAUGUUGAUUGUCCAUCCUGUGCUGGAAGAAUCAUACAGUGUAAGGGAUGAUUAGAAGGCAUCAGUUGCUAAAAGGGUCAUUGCUGAAGUGUCUAAGUGGAUGGAAAGAUUUGAUUGCCUCGUGGUUGGUCAAGGUCUUGGGAGGGACCCAUUUCUUCUGGUUUGUUUCCUGCAAUUUAAAAACAUUCUCAUGUUGUUUACUUAUUGGUUUUAUCAUUUUUCUAAAUAAAACUAUAAUUCUAAGAUACUUUUCAGAUGUGGCAUGAACUGGCUAUCCUUGUCAUUUAACACUUCAUGUCUGUAUUCCUAGUGUACUCUCUUUUAUCAUCAAGUUGCAGAAUACUUUGAUGGCUAAUGCUGGUUAAGGAGCUUGUUUGUAUACUUUGAUGGCUUGCGUGUAGGUGCCUAAUGCUGGUUAUAGGAGCAUUUUUGUGGACUUGAGGAGAAACGUGUAGAGGAAAAGCUUUCAAUUUUGGAAGAAAUACACAUACACAAUGCAAGUGACUGCUCCAGGAAAUGUUUAUAGCUAUGGAGUUGUACUGUUAGAGCUCUUAAGUAGCAGAUUACCUGUUGAUGAGCAAUUUGGUGAAGGGAUUGAUCUAGUGAAGUGGGUACAUAGUGCAUCAAAGAGAGGCGAAACUCCUGAGCAGAUAAUGGACACAAGGCUGAGCACUGUCUCAUUUUCUUGGAGGAAGCAAAUGCUAGCGGUAUUGAAGAUUGCCAUGCUCUUGUCAAAUGCAAAGAUGUUUAUCUGUAAUUUUGUAUAAUCAAAUAGUUGUGUCUCCCCUUUCAUCAAUAGAGCAUGUCUCAGUUGGAUGUUAUGUGUCCGUUAGAUAUGGAAAUAGUUUUGAAUGUAUGUAACUGAACGUAUUAUGUUAUUGCUAAACAUAUCUUUUUGUUGAGAAAAAAAUACAGUGACAGUUUGACUGUUUGAGA